rnacentral:rRNA from 1 species
CCCUUAGAUGUUCUGGGCCGCACGCGCGCUACACUGACGGAGGCAGCGAGCGUGUCCUUCGCCGGCAGGUGCGGGCAAUCUUGCGAGUCUCCGUCGUGCUGGGGAUAGAUGGUUGCAAUUGUCGAUCCUGAACGAGGAAUUCCUAGUAAGCGCGAGUCAUCAGCUCGCGCUGAUUACGUCCCUGCCCUUUGUACACACCGCCCGUCGCUACUACAGAGUGCCCGUGUCCAAGAAACGGUCGGACCUGUGCGGCCUCUCCGGGCGACCGGAGGGCCGUUACGGGGAAGACCCUUUAUUUGACGCGGGUCGAUGAAGUAAAAGUCGUAACA